ACACCGGCGCCUGGGCUGACUUUGCGGCCGGCGAUAAGGGUGGCGACGUAAUCAGCCUGCUGGCUUACACGGAACGCAUCAGUCAGGUCGAAGCAGCACGACGAGUUUGCAAGUUUCUCGGCUUGCCGGAUUAGGAGAUCGGCCAUGGCGAAUAAGGAGACAGCGAACCCCGGCCGCACGCUAAUCAUGCCAAUCCCACUGCAGGCGCCGCCACCCCCGAGUCGGCACCCAGAUUUGGGGGAGCCAGAUUGGGAGUUUCUCUACGCCGACGCGAAAGACCGGAUCCUGCAUUGGGUCCUGAAGUUCGAUAUUUCAACUGGUUCGGUGUUCCAUCCGCUGACGCUCUGGUGUGAUCCCAAGAGCCAUUUGUUUUGGGCAUGGAAGCCGGUGCCCGAUAACCGCCCUCUCAAGGGUCUCUACCAGCUCGCCUCGUAUCCCGACGACACCGUUCUGGUCGUUGGAGGAAACGAGUGGAUUGCCGGCUCUGCGGAAGCCCUCUGUCCGGACACGGUGGUGGUCACCUCGUCCGGCGGCCUGAACGAGGCCGCGCACACUGACUGGUCUCCUCUGAAAGGUCGUACGGUCUGGGUAUGGGGACCCAACAAUGGUGCCGGCAGACAAUAUGCGCAAACCGUCGCCCGGAUCUUGAGUGACGCGGGCGUCCAGGAGCUGCGUAUCAUCGAUUCACAUGGUCUUUCGACCCGUACCGCCCAGGGCGGCACGCGUGAGCCGCGAGACGGCUGGGACGCUGAUGAGGCGAACCGGGAAGGCUGGGGCCGAGUCGCUUUUGAGCGCGUCCUGUCGGACUUCGCAGAACCCUGGAGCGCCUCCCUGCCCCGCAGCGGUGACUAGGCGUAGGACGUGGCCGAGGUCCCGAGUCCUACGUUUUCCAAUGCAGGUGGGGAGGAGGGGGGAGGUCCCUCCCCGAGUUCACCUGCACGGGUGCAUACGCCCGGCUGCACACUUCUGGCCUAUGCCAAAGCGAAGUGCCUGCCCCUCGCCUUCCUACAAGACAAUGGGCUUUCGGAGCUUUGGUAUAUGGACAGGCCCGCGAUCCGGAUCCCGUACCGGGAUGCAAAUGGAGCAGAGUGUGCGGUUCGAUUUCGGAAAGCGCUGCAGAAGGGAGAGCACGGGGACGAUCGCUUCUGCUGGAAGAAGAAUUCAAAACCGCUGCUUUAUGGCCUGUCGCGCCUGCGCCAGGAAAAGUCAGUCAGCCUGGUAGAGGGCGAGAGCGAUUGCCAUACCUUAUGGCAUCACGGCAUCAAUGCUAUCGGACUGCCUGGCGCCGGGAUGUGGAACGAGGCUCGCGAUGCCGAGCAUCUCGCCACCUUCGAAAGGAUCAACGUGGUUCUCGAACCCGACCAGGGUGGCGAGGCCAUGCUGAGGUGGAUGUCAACGGGCAC
rnacentral:misc_RNA from 1 species